UGGAAGAAAGGAGAGGUUCUACGCACAGGUC
rnacentral:piRNA from 1 species